GUUAUGUAUCUCACAAUGGCCUGGGGAAAAAAGUUCCAUGAUGGGUAGGAUUCUUCUCUAGACAGGACCACAACAGCAGAAUUCUGGAUGCUUGAUAAAGAGCAAUUGCCCAUGUUGCAGAAACAUUGAUAUGCUAGCUGGUAUGAAUAGAAGUGGCAGAGAUAAUUAAUGUGUAUUUGUUAAUGUUACUCAGCUUAUUUGAAAGCAAGAGCUCCAGUUCCCCUUUGGCAAAUCCUCUGUGACACAGUGGGCUGCUUCACUUUGUAUUGUUUGAGCUUGUCAAGAAGGUCUUGAACUCAUAGCAGUUAGCAAAGAUGAAGCAAAUGUUUUAAAGUACAGCUAUGGAGAGAGAAUUUAACUAAAGCAGAAAUAUGAGUCACAAAAACAUUCGUGCCUUAUUUUCAGGCUCCACUUGGAUCUGCGUAGGAAGAUUGUUUCAUCCAUGCAGAGCUCCCAAACCUUGCAGAACUCUGCAUGUACCAAUGCUCUGCCCAGGUGGGUCUGAAUACAGGAUGAGAGCUGAGGUCUGAGCAACAGGGACAGCACUUCUCUGGAUGUUUAUCAUGGUCCUGGGAUAACUGUUUGCACCAACUCAACACAAGAGAAGAGAUCAUUACACACAACAACAACAAAACAAAACAUGCAAACCAUCAGACUUUUUGGAAAACUUGUGCAACUGAAAUAAGAAUUGCCAUUAAAAGUAACAGGUCUGUG